AGCGAACGCUGGCGGCAGGCCUAACACAUGCAAGUCGAACGAACUCUUCGGAGUUAGUGGCGGACGGGUGAGUAACACGUGGGAACGUGCCUUUUGGUUCGGCAUAACUCAGGGAAACUUGUGCUAAUACCGAAUGUGCCCUUCGGGGGAAAGAUUUAUCGCCAUUAGAGCGGCCCGCGUCUGAUUAGCUAGUUGGUGAGGUAACGGCUCACCAAGGCGACGAUCAGUAGCUGGUCUGAGAGGAUGACCAGCCACACUGGGACUGAGACACGGCCCAGACUCCUACGGGAGGCAGCAGUGGGGAAUCUUGCGCAAUGGGCGAAAGCCUGACGAAGCCAUGCCGCGUGAAUGAUGAAGGUCUUAGGAUUGUAAAAUUCUUUCACCGGGGACGAUAAUGACGGUACCCGGAGAAGAAGCCCCGGCUAACUUCGUG
rnacentral:rRNA from 1 species